UCUCCACUGGCGGAGGCUGAACCAUCCGGGGUGUGGGACACAAAGGGAUCCAGACCCUAGUCGCUCCUUUCAUGCUUUGAAGCGCUUUGCCCAGGCUGUCUCGGAGCUUUAUUUGGCCAGAAGGGUGACUCAGAGACUCUUGUACAACUUGGGAGAAACUGAAAUCUAUUCAUGAUUCUUGCCUGAAUCUUUCAAGUCUAAUAGUUGGAAGAAGCAUAAGACUCUGCCAGCUUAUGGUGAAUGAUGUUAGGUUGGAGCCAUAUCUUGAUGGUGUCAAAAAGAAAACUACAGGCCCAAGAUGGAAUCAUUUAUGCUAGCCCAAGUCACAGAACUGGGCUUAAUAACUAACCUAGUGACAACUUCAAACUCCCCUAGAAAUGUCAUUUCAACUUGUCAGUCAGGAAUUUUCUUGUCAUCACUAGUA